rnacentral:rRNA from 1 species
UGGCGGACGGGUGAGUAAUGUCUGGGAAACUGCCCGAUGGAGGGGGAUAACUACUGGAAACGGUAGCUAAUACCGCAUAACGUCGCAAGACCAAAGAGGGGGACCUUCGGGCCUCUUGCCAUCGGAUGUGCCCAGAUGGGAUUAGCUAGUAGGUGGGGUAACGGCUCACCUAGGCGACGAUCCCUAGCUAGUCUGAGAGGAUGACCAGCCACACUGGAACUGAGACACGGUCCAG